CCUGUCCUUAGUUACCAGCACGUUAUGGUGGGCACUCUAAGGAGACUGCCGGUGACAACCGGAGGAAGGUGGGGAUGACGUCAAGUCAUCAUGGCCCUUACGGCCUGGGCUACACACGUGCUACAAUGGUCGGUACAAAGGGUUGCCAAGCCGCGAGGUGGAGCUAAUCCCAUAAAACCGAUCGUAGUCCGGAUCGCAGUCUGCAACUCGACUGCGUGAAGUCGGAAUCGCUAGUAAUCGUGAAUCAGAAUGUCACGGUGAAUACGUUCCCGGGCCUU
rnacentral:rRNA from 1 species